ensembl:lncRNA
GCCUUUACCCUGCUGCUAGUGAGGUUAAAUGCCCCGCUAGUUAAUGCCUUUACCCUGCUGCUAGUGAUGUUAAAUGCCCCACUAGCUAAUGCCUUUACCCUGAUGCUAGUGAGGUUAAAUGCCCCGCUAGUUAAUGCCUUUACCCUGCUGCUAGUGAUGUUAAAUGCCCCGCUAGCUAAUGCCUUUACCCUGCUGCUAGUGAUGUUAAAUGCCCCACUAGCUAAUGCCUUUACCCUGCUGCUAGUGAGGUUAAAUGCCCCGCUAGCUAAUGCCUUUACCCUGAUGCUAGUGAGGUUAAAUGCCCCACUAGCUAAUGCCUUUACCCUGAUGUUAGUGAGGUUAAAUGCCCCACUAGCUAAUGCCUUUACCCUGAUGCUAGUGAGGGUAAAUGCCCCGCUAGCUAAUGCCUUUCCUUCGCCUGAGUGGUAGCCUACCCCAUAUUCAAAAGCAGAGUAGGCUAAGUUAACAAAUAUUGCCUAGGAAAAGUUAUAUGCGUGAUAGCCCGGUGAGCAUCUCUGCUCCGCUGCGCAAACUAAAUGCUGUGUGUGUUUUGUGCCACUUAAAAUAUUUCCAAAUUAUGCCAGGGGACUAUUUUUCGGAAUAUUGAGAUUUUGGAAUAUCGGGCCUUCGGAACACUGGACCGUCCCCAAAUGCCCCACUAGCUAAUGCCUUUACCCUGAUGCUAGUGAGGUUAAAUGCCCCGCUAGCUAAUGCCUUUACCCUGCUGCUAGUGAGGUUAAAUGCCCCGCUAGCUAAUGCCUUUACCCUGCUGCUAGUGAUGUUAAAUGCCCCACUAGCUAAUGCCUUUACCCUGCUGCUAGUGAGGUUAAAUGCCCCGCUAGCUAAUGCCUUCCACAUGCCUUAAACCAGACACCUCUGUUGAUUAAAUGUCAAAGCCUCAAAAAGAAUUCAGUACAUUUUUGAAAGGUUUCAAAGCAUUACCUUUUCACAGGCCUAC